rnacentral:tRNA from 1 species
GCCUUUCUGGCUCAGUUGGUGGAGCAUGUGAAUCUUGAUCUCAAGGUUGUGAGUUCGAGCCCCAUGUUGGGUG